UCCUUUUUGAGAUCUUGUAACACUUGUAUUUUGUAAACAUGCAUACUGGAACAUGACCUGCAUAUGUUAUGAUAUAAACACAGAAUCUCAAAAUUGGAAGGGAGAUCAUGGAGUCAAUCUCCUGCCCAAAACAUGAAUCCCUUCUACAACAUUCCUGAGCAGGAACUGCCCAGCCUCAAUUAAAACUCCCUCCUCUCUCCCUCCUCCUUCCCUCUCCGUUCCUCCCUUCUUCCUUCCUUCCUUCUCUCCCUCUCUCCCUCUUUCCCUCCUUCUCUCUCUCUCUCCCUCCUUCCCCUCCACCCCUCUCACUUUCUCUCAAUGUAUGUGUCUCUGUGUUUCUCACUGUCUCAAACUCUGUCUCUAUGCAUGUCUUUCAUUUAAAUUGUCUAAAGUCAGACUGGUAGCAUCUGAGAUAGGAUAUGAACCCAGGUCUUUUGAUUCCAGAAUCAGCACUCUUUCCACUGCAUCAUAUUGUGGUAGCAAGGACAUGAGUCUAAUAUGCUGGGUUGAGCAUUCUGCAAAUCCUGUUCCCAACACCUCUCAAAGGAGGCCAAAAAGCAUUAAGGCUGAAUUUGAAACUAAGUCAAUACGAUGAAGAAAACUGCUCUCCUCUGAUACAGACUUCUCAUCUCCAUCUCUGGGAAGCCUCUGCCUGCCCUGCAAUUUUGCCUCGACAAAGUAAUCAGCCACGAGUAAACAUACUGUACUCUGACCCAACAUACUGACAUCAUUGUCUUAGAAAACAAAGAACAAACAAUAAACUGAUUCCAUACCACCUAGCUAACCAUACUUCCCAUGUUACUAAUUCUAUCUACUCGGUAGACUUAAUCCAGCUUCCAUUCCUUCUCCUCACCCAGGAUGAUAACCCUUUUUCUCUCCAUGUAUCCAGAUCCUACUCAUCAUUCAAAGCCAAAUUCCAUAUCUACCAGCCCAUAAAGCUUUCUUCCAUCUAUUCCAUCUCUAUCCUACAAUAUCCUACAGCUAUUCUUCAUAGUUUCUGUUAAAUUACAAUUCCUCUCCUACAAACCUUUGUAGAUGAGCUCUCCAAUACGGUUCCUUAAAUCUUGUUUAUUGGUGGUUUCCCUUAGAUCAAAAGUAGGAGUUGGAAGAUGCCUUUUAGCUCAUAUAGUCUGUGAUUUUUACCAUCUACUUGGAAGGCCUGGGUUUUCCAUGUUCACAUUUUCUCAGCUGUUAGUUUUCUUUGUUCUUGCUCAAGGAAAGGAAGCCUUUUUGUUUUUAUCUUUCUAUCUCUAGUAUCUAUCAUAGUACCUGGCUCAUAAUAAACACUGAAUCAAUGUUUGUUCACUGACAGGCUGAAUGAAUAAUCACUUUUUCAUGUAAAAUCUUCAUUGAUUCCCAGUUUAAAAAAAUUUUUUUUUCUUUCUUUUAUUAUAGUUCUAAACAAGAAUGCAGAUUUGUAGCUAUUCCAAGGAUAAUUCCUGAAUUUCAGACUUUUGUCCUUUGUUCCUGGAGCUCUUUUCUUUCUGCUGCUUCUUAUUUUACCUGCCUUUUUUCUUUUUUAAGGCAAUUAACAGGGUAACUAACUUGCCUAGGGUCAUGCACUUAGUAAGUGUCUAAAGCUGAAUUUCAAUUCAAGUCCUCAAGACUAGGUCCAUCUCCUUCUAAAGCAUUAAUUAGCUGGAUUAAAUUCUUAAUUUCUAUUAAUCUGUUAUGAUUCUGCAAGGUUUAGCACUUCUAUUGGCUUUCUUUCUGUUAAAAUAUAUCUUUUUCUUCUUUUUUUUUUUUUUUUUUUUUUUUGGCCGAGGCAAUUGGGCUUAAGUGACUCAGAUUCUCCUAACUUCAGGUCUGUUGCUCUAUCCAUUGCACCAUUUAGCUGCCCCUGUAUCUUCAUCUGUAAGUGAGUGAGUAGUCACUUUUCAGUGUUAGCAUGCUCUUGUCUUAUAAGCCAAUCACCACUUUCAUUGUAAGACAUCCAUUCUUGAUUUCUUCCAAAUACUGGCAUUUUAUUAUUUAUUGUUCAUAACACUGACAAUAUUUCUCAACUCCUGCCAAGUUGGUUCAUGGCUUUGUUGAGAGCUGGGGGAGGAGUUGUUUUGUUUUAUUUUUGAAGUUUAAUAUCCUGACAAGGCUAUGAUCUAUAAAUCUGCUUCUUGGUCACUGAGUGAAAUAGCUUGGAGAAAACAACUUUUGCAUCCUCUCUCAGCUGAAUCCUAACUUUUAGGACCUCUAUUUCUUCUCCCAUAAUUUCUAAGCUUGUUUUUGACAAAGAACUUUUAACUCGCCCAUUCCAUUAUUUACAAUCUGCCUUUAGACUGUCCUUUGAGCCCAGAGGCCUCAACUGCUUAAAGAAAACUUGUUCAAAUUCUAAUUUGGUUAUUAUGAUUCCAAUGUGAUUUUGUCAGAUCACUUAAAUUUCAUCUGUGCCUCAGUUUCCAAAUCUAUAAAAAGCAAGCUUUGGCUAAAUAAUUUCUAGCAUACCUUUUGGCUCUCUAUUGAUCUCAACUUUCUCAACUGUAAAAUGGGGAUCAUAAUAGCACUGACUUACUUCAUAAGGUUGUUGUUAAGAUUAUAUGAGGUAGUAUUUAUAAGGCAUUUAGCACAAUGUCCUGGCACACAACUCCCACAGACUUGUGAUGGAGAGAGCUAUCUUCAUCCAGAUAGAGGACUAUGGGAACUGAAUAUAGACUACAGCAUAGUAUUUUAGCCUUUUGUUGUUGCUGUUUGCUUGAUUAUUUUUUCUCAAUUUUUUUUCCUUUUGAUCUGAUUUUUCUUAUGCAGCAUGACAAAUGUGGAAAUAUGUUUAGAAGAAAUGCACAUGUUACCUAUAUUUGAUUACUUGCUGUUUAGGGAAGAGGGAGAGAGAGAGAGGGAGAGAGAGAAAAAUUUGGAACACAAGGUUAUGCAAGGGUGAAUGUUAAAAACUAUCUUUACAUGUAUUUUGGAAAUAAAAAGCUAUUAUUAUUAAAAAAAUAAAAUCUAUGGGUCAAAAAACAAAAACAAAAAC